rnacentral:lncRNA from 1 species
CUGAAGAUCUCCGAUACGCACCAGUCUCCCCCGCGCGUGGCUGCUUGCCGGGCGCUCACUGCCCUGCGAGGCACGCUGAAUCGCCGAAUGAUCGGCUGUAAUGAAACUCAUAGCUGCUUUUGCUAGAAAAGAUAGGUUUAGAGAAGGAAUAGCUUUUGAGCUUUUGUGACACAAACUUGUUCUGCUACAGUUGCAAUUUUGGCCCCACAAUGGGUUUCAAUGAAAAGUUGGGACCGGGGGCGAGCCCCUGAUCAUCUAAAAAAAAACUAAACAAAGGAAAAUUCCGCGUUCUUUUACAUGCAUAAUUUUGCACAGAUAACGCACAAACUUUAGCCCUAGUUAAGACGCAGGUCCACACACGCUGAAAAAGAAAAGGAACACGCCAGUGUGUUUAAUCUGGC